GACGAACGCUGGCGGCGUGCUUAACACAUGCAAGUCGAACGGAAAGGCCCUGCUUGCAGGGUACUCGAGUGGCGAACGGGUGAGUAACACGUGGGUGAUCUGCCCUGCACUUCGGGAUAAGCCUGGGAAACUGGGUCUAAUACCGGAUAGGAGCCAUUUUUAGUGUGAUGGUUGGAAAGUUUUUUCGGUGUAGGAUGAGCUCGCGGCCUAUCAGCUUGUUGGUGGGGUAAUGGCCUACCAAGGCGGCGACGGGUAGCCGGCCUGAGAGGGUGGACGGCCACAUUGGGACUGAGAUACGGCCCAGACUCCUACGGGAGGCAGCAGUGGGGAAUAUUGCACAAUGGGCGCAAGCCUGAUGCAGCGACGCCGCGUGGGGGAUGACGGCCUUCGGGUUGUAAACUCCCUUCGCUAGGGACGAAGCUUUUUGUGACGGUACCUAGAUAAAAAGCACCGGCUAACUACGUG
rnacentral:rRNA from 1 species